rnacentral:rRNA from 1 species
UACAGAGGUCUCAAGCGUUGUUCGGAUUCAUUGGGCGUAAAGGGUGCGUAGGCGGCGCGGUAAGUCGGGUGUGAAAUCUUGGAGCUUAACUCCGAAACUGCAUUCGAUACUGCCGUGCUUGAGGACUGGAGAGGGGACUGGAAUUUACGGUGUAGCGGUGAAAUGCGUAGAUAUCGUAAGGAAGACCAGGUGGCGAAGGCGGGUCUCUGGACAGUUCCUGA